rnacentral:snRNA from 1 species
GGAAGUGAGGGCGAUCUGGCUGCAACAUCUGUCACCCCAUUGAUCGCCAGCCAGGGUUGAUUCGGCUGAUGUGGCUGGCUAGGCGGGUGUUCCCUUCCUCCCUCACCACUCCACGUGAGUCCCUCCUGAAGCUGCGCACUUGAUAAAAGAGGACGACCCUCCCGGAUAGAGGAGGAUCAUUCUUGGGUCAAGGGUGUACAAGUAGCUGCACUCCCCUGUUAGAACCUCCAAACAAGCUCAAAGAGAAAACACACAUUGCCUGCGUUGUCACAAAAAUUAGGACUCAGUUUUCUCC